CCUACGGGUGGCAGCAGUGAGGAAUAUUGGUCAAUGGGCGAGAGCCUGAACCAGCCAAGUCGCGUGAGGGAGUACUGCCCUAUGGGUUGUAAACCUCUUUUGUCGGGGAGCAAAAGCCGGACGUGUCCGGCUGUGAGAGUACCCGAAGAAAAAGCAUCGGCUAACUCCGUGCCAGCAGCCGCGGUAAUACGGAGGAUGCGAGCGUUAUCCGGAUUUAUUGGGUUUAAAGGGUGCGCAGGCGGAGUUUUAAGUCAGCGGUAAAAUCGUGGGGCUCAACCCCAUCCAGCCGUUGAAACUGGGGAUCUAGAGUGGGCGAGAGGUAUGCGGAAUUCGUGGUGUAGCGGUGAAAUGCAUAGAUAUCACGCAGAACCCCGAUUGCGAAGGCAGCAUACCGGUGCACAACUGACGCUCAGGCACGAAAGCGUGGGUAUCGAACAGGAUUAGAUACCCGAGUAGUC
rnacentral:rRNA from 1 species